rnacentral:rRNA from 1 species
AUUGAACGCUGGCGGCAGGCCUAACACAUGCAAGUCGAACGAGUGGCGGACGGGUGAGUAAUGUCUGGGAAAUUGCCCGAUGGCGGGGGAAAACUACUGGAAACGGUAGCUAAUACCGCAUACCAUCGGAUGUGCCCAGAUGGGAUUAGCUAGUGGGUGGGGUAAUGGCUCACCUAGGCGACGAUCCCUAGCUGGUCUGAGAGGAUGACCGGCCACCGUGGAACGAGGACACGGUGCAGACUCCGACGGGAGGCAGCAGUGGGGAAUAUAGGACAAUGGGCGCAAGCCUAAAGCAGCCAUGGGGGGUGUAGGAGAAAGGCCUUCGAGUUGUAAAGUACGUUAAGCGUGGAGGCGUUACUCACAGAAGAAGCACCGGCUAACUCCGUGCCAGCAGCCGCGGUAAUUC